GGCCCUGUGGUCCUGGCCUGGCCUCCUUUGGGACAGAGAUCCUAUGAUUGAGUCUCCCAAAUGCCCUGCCAAUCUGCUGCUCAAGCUCCUUGCUUGCCCUUCUGUAUUUCCUCUGAAGUAUAUUUUGUUGCCAUUUUCCGGUCAAAUAUUUUAAAACUUAGAUAUUUGGUUUUUAGUGGUUCCUUUGUGAAUUCAGUUCUUCCUCUAAAGGUACUCUCUUUUAUGUUAUGUGGAAUUUGUUGCUGGAUUGCCCUGUCACCACCACCAAAGGCUCAGAUAUUCUUUCUUCUCCAAUUUAACUCCAGUUUGUCAGCUGCUGAGUGGUGUAAAAUUCUUUUGCCGAGGAACAAGACCAUCCCAGUCAACUCCAUCCCACAGCCUGGCCAGUCAGCAGAGCGGACACCAUCUUAGGCCUCUUAUUUUUUCUUUUGCCCAAGUGUCUGAAAGGAGCAUCCUCUUUAAUUUAAGCCUACAUGUGGAGUGAACAUCCUUGCCUGUGACUCCCGAACAACAUAAACAGCUGUUUCUUGAAGACAGACAAGGAAGAGUAAAAUGGUUGGGAGAGAGAGAGUCUAUACAUUAAUGUCCAGCACCGAGUGAGCCCUUGUGAAGUGUGGACCUUGGAGAGCAUGUCAAGCAGUCUCAUUCAUUUUAACAAAUGCACCGUACUGGUGGGGGAUGAGGAGAAAGGACCAGGUGGGGGCACAAGGAAGAAUGCUGCAACCUGUUUCCUGAGAUGAAGUAUGGCUCUUAGAGACGGGCAUUUGGUGCACAGACUUCGGCCGGAAUACCUUUGCUCCUCCACACGUUCUAACUGGCAAAAACAACCUCAGACUGCAGUAGGGAAAUAUCUGAAAUGAUCCUGCAAGAUAUUUGUCUCCUCAACUUGGAUAUACUCUGAAGCUAAAGCUUUACUUCUAAUGAGUAGCAUAUAGUAAGAAUGCCAGCUGCAAUGCUGUGAGCCUCUCCACAGGAGGCCCACAGAGUGAGGAACUAGGAGAGGCACCUGUCAUCAGCCAGUGAGCAUGAAGGCCCUUGGUCCAAUGGCUUAAGAACUGGAUUCUGCACGAACACCCUGUGACCUUGGAAAUGGGUAUUUCCCCAGUCAAAGCUUCAGAUGAUGAAGCAAAGUUGAGAACACUCCCUGCCCGGUGUGCGGUGUAGAAGCAGAGGGUGGGAAGAAUCCGACUCCACUCCAGUUCCCCAGCCAAGCUCUGUCCACAGCGCCAC
rnacentral:lncRNA from 1 species